rnacentral:rRNA from 1 species
GAUGAACGCUGGCGGCGUGCCUAAUACAUGCAAGUCGAGCGAACAGACGAGGAGCUUGCUCCUCUGACGUUAGCGGCGGACGGGUGAGUAACACGUGGAUAACCUACCUAUAAGACUGGGAUAACUUCGGGAAACCGGAGCUAAUACCGGAUAAUAUAUUGAACCGCAUGGUUCAAUAGUGAAAGACGGUUUUGCUGUACCUUAUAGAUGGAUCCGCUCCUCAUUACCUAGUUGGUAAGGUAACGGCUUACCAAGGCACCGAAGCGUAGCCGACCUGAGAGGGGGAUCGGCCACACUGGAACUGAGAAACGGUCCAGCCUCCUACGGGAGGCAGCAGUAGGGAAUCUUCCGCAAUGGGCGAAAGCUUGACGGAGCAACGCCGCGUGAGUGAUGAAGGUCUUCGAAUCGUAAAACUCUUUUAUUAGGGAAGAACAAAUGUGUAAGUAACUAUUCACGUCUUGACGGUACCUAAUCAGAAAGCCACGGCUAACUACGUG